UGAGCCAUACUUACUUAUUUUUACAUACAGGUGUGAGCCAUAUUUACUUACUUAUUUUUACAUAAAAUACAAACACUUUAAAUAAAGUUGAAGAUCAUCUCAAUGGGCCAAGUGGUCAAGCCGAACACCCAGGAUCCAGCUGUCCAGUUCAGGGUAGCCCCUGAGCUUCUCGCUCUGACUCCAACAGGGCGAGCUUGCUAUCCUUGUGGCACGGGGCCUUUUGCAUUGUGGAUGAUGGAGCAUCUCAUAUAGUCCAUAAGUUUUGUGCGUAGCUGUGUAUCCUGUCCCUGUGAGCUGGUUCUGCCCGGCACCUCUGUGACCUCGAGGAAAGAAGCUAAGAGACAGUCUUGCUUUGUCACCCAGGCUGGAGGGCAGUGGCACCAUCAUAGCUCAUUGCAGACUCGAACUCCUGGGCUCAAGGGAUCCUCCUGCCUCGGCCUCUCAAAAUGGUGAGAUUAUGGACAUGAGACACUGCACUGGGCCUAUUGUGUAUCUUCUCGGCCGAAAAUUGAAACAUGCCUUGUGAGCAUUUACUGCAACUUGAAUGAGUGAUUAUUAUGUUGCCUUUAAUCCUGAGAGACUGUAUUACUUGUGCACUUUUUUUUUUUUGGAUGGGUGAAAUUAGAUUUACUCCCUAUAUGUUUUAGAAAAUUGAAGUUUUAAAUAUCAGACUCACUA